GUGGGCUUAGUUCAGCUGGUUAGAACGCCAGGUUGUGGCCCUGGAGGUCAUCGGUUCGAAUCCGAUAGCCCACC
rnacentral:tRNA from 1 species